CCCUUAGAUGUUCUGGGCCGCACGCGCGCUACACUGACGAAUGCAACGAGCUUAUAACCUUGGCCGAAAGGUCUGGGUAAUCUCCAAAUUUCGUCGUGAUGGGGAUAGAUUAUUGCAAUUAUUAAUCUACAACGAGGAAUGCCUAGUAAGCGCAAGUCAUCAGCUUGCGUUGAUUACGUCCCUGCCCUUUGUACACACCGCCCGUCGCUCCUACCGAUUGAAUGGUCCGGUGAAGCGUUCGGACCGUGGCCUUUGGACGGUUCGCCGUCUGUUGGCUGCGGGAAGUUCGUUAAACCUUAUCAUUUAGAGGAAGGAGAAGUCGUAACA
rnacentral:rRNA from 1 species